rnacentral:rRNA from 1 species
UACGAAGGGGGCUAGCGUUGCUCGGAAUCACUGGGCGUAAAGCGCACGUAGGCGGAUUCUUAAGUCGGUGGUGAAAGCCUGGAGCUCAACUCCAGAACUGCCUUCGAUACUGAGAGUCUUGAGUCCGGGAGAGGUGAGCGGAACUGCGAGUGUAGAGGUGAAAUUCGUAGAUAUUCGCAAGAACACCAGUGGCGAAGGCGGCUCACUGGCCCGGUACUGACGCUGAGGUGCGAAAGCGUGGGGAGCAAACGGG